rnacentral:rRNA from 1 species
UACGGGGGGGGCAAGCGUUGUUCGGAAUUACUGGGCGUAAAGGGCUCGUAGGCGGCCAACUAAGUCGGAUGUGAAAUCCCCAGGCUCAACCUGGGAACUGCAUCCGAUACUGGAUGGCUUGAAUUCGGGAGAGGGAUGCAGAAUUCCAGGUGUAGCGGUGAAAUGCGUAGAUAUCGGGAGGAACACCAGUGGCGAAGGCGGUUGCCUGGAGCUUUGCUGACGCUGAGGCGCGAAAGCGUGGGGAGCGAUCCGG